AUACUUAACCUGGCUGGGGAGAUACCAUGAUCAUGAAGGUUGUUUUCCCAGGGAGAGGCUUAGCGCACUCUGGAUGCACUGACCGCUGUGAUUUCCCCAAACGUGGGAAAUUCAACUGCAUAAUUUGUAGUAGCAGGGGACUGUGUUCACACUUUCUCAUU
ensembl:snRNA U1 U1 spliceosomal RNA